rnacentral:lncRNA from 1 species
CCUGAGCACUGUGCCCCGUCGAGGCUUGCCUUAACAGAGGCCUCCCAGUGCUCACCUCCAUCUCCCAAGUGGACCUUCUCUUUCUUCUUGUCCCAUGGUUGCCCUGGGGUGGCCACAUUCAGGGAAGACACUGGCCUCAGUAGUCAGACACACACUCAGGCUCCUCUCCAAGAUUAUGGAGGCACUGCCAUAGUUCAGACCAGAGCAGACUGCUCUGGCCUUGGCCUUCACACACUUCUAGCACUUUGUUCACCCGGAUGUUAUCGAAUCUGGACAAAAAGACGGAACUUCUCCAGUCAUAUGCCUACCAUGCAGAGGCUCCUCUUGAC